rnacentral:rRNA from 1 species
UACGAAGGGUGCAAGCGUUACUCGGAAUUAUUGGGCGUAAAGAGCGUGUAGGCGGCCAGACAGGUCAGCUGUGAAAACUCGAGGCUCAACCUCGAGACGUCGGUUGAAACCGUCUGGCUAGAGUCCGGAAGAGGAGAGUGGAAUUCCCGGUGUAGCGGUGAAAUGCGCAGAUAUCGGGAAGAACACCCGUGGCGAAGGCGGCUCUCUGGGACGGUACUGACGCUGAGACGCGAAAGCGUGGGGAGCGAACAGG